rnacentral:ncRNA from 1 species
CAGAAUAGGGCAAGCGCGUUAAGUGCCGGCGGAUGGGAUGUUGCCUCCGGACGAAGCGGCGGAAGCUGCGCGGUGCUUGCCCGCAUCCGCUGC